CGGCAGUUUCCCCUUUCAUCUCUGAUUUUGUUGAUUUGGAGGCUCAGCCACAGGGACUGUGGUGAAACCUGACAAUGACCAUGAAGUAGAGUCACCCAGGUGAUCCUGUCCUGGCCAUGUGUCAACAGAACUAAGACUGGAGUCCACACGAUAAAGCCCCAAGACAACCAGACUGGUGAUGACAGCUGAGUCCCUGGGCUGACUCACAAACUUAUCUGUCCAGUCAGAGACAGAAGCUGGAAUGUGGAGAACCAAUCUUGCAUGGGCCCACCAUGUGAGGUCCUGCUGAGUCUGUUUAUGGCACAGAGACUGGAAGCCCCAAAGCAGGUCCAAGACACAAAGGAAAAGAGAGAGAAGAAGCAGGACAGGUAAGCAUGGACCUUUAGCACAUUAUCUUUGCCAAGUAGAGAACGUUAGCCCACAGAAACUCAAACCCCAUCAGUCACAAUCAUCUAAGAAGUCACCUCAGAGGUGGAAGCAUCUCCCCAGUGCUUGGUCUUUAGAUUGGGAGUGCUGUGGGAAAGCCUUUCUCAGUUUGACUUGGCAGAAAAUGUAGGCAAAAAGGAAAUGCUUCCUCGAAGGGAUGAAGUUGGGUCAGAAGCUCAUUGUAUUACACUGUACAUAAGUGGCUAGGGGGUGUAUUCGCAGAGCUUUUAGGCUCAGUAGACACUAAUUUAUUAUUAUCCUGCCUCCAAGAGAAUAUGCCCCAUCUGACUAAAUUUUCCUGUAUCUAUUCCUAUCUUUGAAGCACAAGAGACAGAGCACACACAUUUUCUUCCAACUAUUCCAGUUUUGCAGAUUUCUUGACAUGGAGUCAAAUCUUGCAGCUGUUUAUCAAAACUAUUUCUGCUUCAUUCUGCCAAAAAGCAAGAAUGUGUUCCCUGUCCCCAUAUCUCUAAGUCAAUUCAAUGUAAUUUAAAUGAGAAAAGAUUCUGAACACUAUCCUCAGGACUUCUGAGUAAGAAAAACUCAACGCUUUCACGAAGCCAACAUAGCUAAGGGCCAGUUUGGCUUUACAUCUACAGUGUUCCUUCUGCAUCAGUGUGAGGUGUGGGUUUGUAUUCAUGCCCAGACUCAGCUGGUGAUCUGUCAUGGCUAUGGAGUACACACGACAGGGAACAGUAAAAGUACAGUAGUGAAAGUCUUCCAAACUUGUGACAGAAGAUGUCUUACGGCAAGAAUGACAGAGUUAACAGUCUGAUGCAACUUUUUUGGAACAGGAAAACUCUUCUCUAGCCAGUGGUGACCUCCUAAUUCCUAACACUCCUAAAUCAUCUUCUCUUUCUUCUUAGUCCCUGUUUUUCUGUGUCUCCAGGGGGAUUUUGAUACCAUUAAUUUGACCAUAAGUUUCUUUACAUUGGAAUAUGUUUCCAGUGUUCGUUUUUCUGCUUGGGCUUUAGUCACCGCAGUAAAAUGUUAAUUUCCUCCAAUAUUUACCGUGCAUUCCUCUACAGUUCUUACAGCAGACUGAUGCUACAACUUUACCAUAAAUAAAACUGAAUUAUUAACAAUUUUUUACCCCAGAGUAUUUUAUUAGAGAGUCCUGUUACCAUGUUAACAUAUAAAACAAUGUGGAUGUUGACAUAGAAAUGCAAAUUUCACUAGAUACAGCUCCAAACGUAGUAAUAUGGCCCUCCUAACUCCUGAAUGGUUAACUCAAUGCAAAUUUUACCCAGAGUUAUGUUCAUGAAUAUUAGACAACUACAAAAUAUGCUGCAAAUACAUAACAUUAUACAUUGAGUUCCAAGCUCAGAAAGGGAUACAUAAUACUUUAGUUAUAUCAUUCUCAUUAUAUAGCCUUAUUAUCACUAAAGACAUGUUAUGUGUACUUACUGCAUGUAUGUGCAUAUACAAAUCCACAAAUGCCCACCCAGGACUUUUAUUAAAAGUUUAACCCUCAAGACUUUAUCCACCGUAUCUGAGAAAGGAAUUAAUUACAUACCCCAAAUUCCUCAACUGUGGCAAAAGGAGCACAGGUAGGUAUGCAUGAAAGGUAGGUUUUUACAGACAAACACACACACACGCACACACACUCACUACCUAUUUUUAUAUAACUACACAUGAAAAAAUUAUAUGGAACAUUCAUGCACUCACAUACCUGCUUUGAAUUCUGAAUCUCAUUAUAUUACAUACUGAGCAUCUUUUUGAAGUAAUUGUCUUAUUUCAUUUGAUUCAGGCAACUGGUGACUACUUUCUAACCAAAAAAAGAGGGUAUUUCUAAAAAGCUCUGAUUCUAGGUCAACUAAAUGACAUUUUAGGAUCCCAGGUUUAGUUUUUAUGGUUCUUGGUUAAAUUUAGCAGUCCUGAUUCUGUCUUCCCCUAAAAUACUUCUUUUCUGCAAUGAACUUUUGCAUUAGCUGGAAAUGUUAAUACAAUCUACAUAUUGUUCCUCACUGUAGAUCUGUAUGCUUGGAAUGUAUGUUAUAUCUGUUUUAUUGUUGCUUUUUUUAUGUUUUACAAUGAAAUAUGUUAUUAAAUCAUUAAAAUAUUUAACUUAAAUACUAUUCAAGAAGCCCCAGUCUUAGCUGAGGAACUAUUGGUAAUUGAUAA